UACGUAGGGUGCGAGCGUUAAUCGGAAUUACUGGGCGUAAAGCGUGCGCAGGCGGUUUGCUAAGACCGAUGUGAAAUCCCCGGGCUUAACCUGGGAACUGCAUUGGUGACUGGCAGGCUAGAGUAUGGCAGAGGGGGGUAGAAUUCCACGUGUAGCAGUGGAAUGCGUAGAGAUGUGGAGGAAUACCGAUGGCGAAGGCAGCCCCCUGGGCCAAUACUGACGCUCAUGCACGAAAGGCGUGGGGAGCAAACAGG
rnacentral:rRNA from 1 species